rnacentral:pre_miRNA from 1 species
CGGAAGGAGAAGCGUCGAGCGCAGGCAAGAGAUCACUGCGGUGCUCACAUGUAGCCACUGUGAACACAGCUGGUGGUAUCUCUUUUCUUCGCUCUGACCUG